rnacentral:rRNA from 1 species
UACGUAGGGAGCGAGCGUUGUCCGGAAUUACUGGGUGUAAAGGGAGCGUAGGCGGGAUUGCAAGUCAGAUGUGAAAUGUAUGGGCUUAACCCAUAGACUGCAUUUGAAACUGUAGUUCUUGAGUGAAGUAGAGGUAAGCGGAAUUCCUAGUGUAGCGGUGAAAUGCGUAGAUAUUAGGAGGAACAUCGGUGGCGAAGGCGGCUUACUGGGCUUUUACUGACGCUGAGGCUCGAAAGCGUGGGGAGCAAACAGG